GCUGGUGUAAACGAUGACUUCACUUUUUUCCCCAUCAGAUCGACAAUGCUGAUGCCUUACAACACUUGCCAGUUAUUUCUGAUACACCAGC
ensembl:snoRNA SNORD12C small nucleolar RNA, C/D box 12C